rnacentral:rRNA from 1 species
GGCGUCGAGCGGCGGACGGGUGAGUAACGCGUAGGAAUCUACCCAGCAGUGGGGAAUAACCGCGGGAAACUGCGGCUAAUACCGCAUACGCCCUUAGGGGGAAAGAUUUAUCGCUGUUGGAGGAGCCCGCGUCGGAUUAGCUAGUUGGUGAGGUAAUGGCUCACCAAGGCGACGAUCCGUAGCUGGUCUGAGAGGAUGAUCAGCCACACUGGGACUGAGACACGGCCCAGACUCC